rnacentral:rRNA from 1 species
UUGACCUUUUCAAAAGGUUUUUGGAAAUAAAGGGGUGGGGAAGGACGGUUCCACCCGCCGGUAAUACCGGCCCCUCCAGUGGUAGUCGCUUUUAUUGGGCCUAAAACGUCCGUAGCCGGUCUGGUGCAUUCGUGGGUAAAUCCACCCGCUCAACGGGUUGAAUUCUGCGAGCACGGCCAGACUUGGGACCGGGAGAGGUGUGGGGGUACUCUCAGGGUAGGGGUAAAAUCCUGUCAUCCUGAGAGGACCACCUGUUGCGAAGGCGCCACACUAGAACGGAUCCGACGGUCAGGGACGAAACCUAGGGGCGCGAACCGGAUUAGAUACCCGGGUAGUCCUAGGUGUAAACCCUGUGGACUUGAUGUUGGGGGCGCUCCGAGCGCUUUCAGUGUCGAAGCGAAGGUGAUAAGUCCACUGCCUGGGGAGUACGGUCACAAGGCUGGAACUUAAAGGAAUUGGCGGGGGAGCACUGCAACCUGAGGAUUGUGCGNUUUAAUUGGAGUCAACACCGGAAAUC